UUGUGAAUCUAUGAUUAAAAUUUGGUGGCAUUUGGACUUGAUUUGAUCAAUAAUGAGCAUUUUGGUGUUCGGUUGUUCGUGCUGAAAAUCCCUAUUCGCGAGGGCCGGACCGUCCGCCUGUUGGGCGUGGACUGUCCACGAGGUGCGGACCGUCCGCCCCUAGGGCGCGGACCGUCCGCCCGGACUGCGUGUUUUCGGUCCGGAAAAGGCUUUCUUGAGUGCUUAAGGUGGACUUGUCACCUUAAGUUGCUCGGGUUGAUUCUUGAGAGUCCCGCUGUGUUUUUGGUCACCACCAUAAACACCCAGCCACCCAGUUGGCUCGAGGAUCUCUUGUCUUCCGCUUGCUUUGGUUUUGGGGUUUGAAUUCGGGACAGAGGCCCAAGAUUUCGAAAGAAAUAUUUGAGGCACCCAUCCCCCCUCUGGUCGCUGUUCCGGUCCUUCAUCGGCCAAGAAAACGUGUGCUAUAGGUCACGGGAGCCCGAAUACGGUCACACCGGCCCGCGGUCGAAAACGUGGGGGAUAGUCCGAAGCUGUGAAAAUGGCCUCCGGACCCAUUUUCGACCAAGAAAACAUGUGCUAUAGGUCACGGGAGCCUGAAUACGGUCACACCAGCUACCGGGGUCGAAAACGUGGGGGAUGGUCCGAAGCCGUGAAAAUGGCCUCCAAACCCGUUUUCGGCCAAGAAAACGUGUGCUAUAGGUCACGGGAGCCCAAAUACGAUCACACCAGCCACCGGGGUCGAAAACAUGGGGGAUCGUCCGAAGACGUGAAAAUGGCCUCCGGACCCGUUUUCAACCAAGAAAACGUGUGGUAUAGGUCACGGGAGCCUGAAUACGGUCACACCGACAACCGGAGUCGAAAACGUGGGGAUGGUCGGAAGCCAUGAAAAUGGCCUCCGGACCCGUUUUCGGCCAAGAAAACAUGUGCUAUAGGUCACGGGAGCCCGAAAACGGCCAAACCGACAACCGGGGUCGAAAACGUGGGGGAUGGUCCGAAGCCGUGAAAAUGGCCUCUCGACCCGUUUUCGGCCAAGAAAACGUGUGCUAUAUAUCACGGGAGCCCAAAAACAGUCACACCGACCACCGGGGUCAAAAACGUGGGGGAUGGACCAAAGAUGUGAAAAUGGCCUCCGGACCCGUUUUUGGCCAAGAUAACGUGUCACGGGAGCCCGAAUAUGGUCACACCGACCACCGGGGUCGAAAACGUGGGGGAUGGUCCGAUAACGUGAAAAUGGCCUCCGGACCCGUUUUCGGCCAAUAAAAGGUGUGCUAUAGGUCAUGGGAGCCCGAAUACGGUCACACCGGCCACCGAGGUCGAAAACAUGGGCCAUGGUUCGAAGCCGUGGAAAUCGCCUCCGGACCCAUUUUCGGCUAAGACAACGUGUGCUAUAGGUCAUGGGAGUCCGAAUACAGUCACACCGGCCACCGUGGUCAAUGUAAUCCCCAAGUUUUGUAGCCAUCUGAUUUUGUUUGCGUUUCUUUCCUCCGGUAACAUCUUGGUCCUCUGAAUUACGACUAGCUGGAGCAGAUUGAACUUCUAUGCUUUCUACACCAUCAAGUCCAAAAGUAGAUUUCUAUCAAUAGAUGCCAUGCUAUGAUUGCUUUGCUCUGAGAUACUUGUCUGGGGAGUGGGUUCAGUUGGCAGCUCACUGCUAUGGGGAGUGGGUUUAGUUCUUUAUGGUGGUGGCUGAAUUGAUGUAAAAUUUAAAUCCCCUGUGACCACACUUCCUAUUAAACAAAUAAUCAAGGUAACAAUAUCAACAUCUUAGCAUCUACAAUAGCGAGAGUUCAAACUAGGAACAUGAUCUACAAUGAAGUGACUCUCUAAAGCACCAUCCACACCACAGCACUAAAACAAGAACAGAGGCAAUGAACAACAAGAUGAAAGCAUUACCUUCAUACAAUAAUUCCAAGCUGUUAAAUAAAGGAAAUGGCUUCUUACGGAACUUGGCAACUUCGUGGUUAUCCUAUUGAAGUACAAUAAAAAAAAUAUGAUUAGAUGGUUUGUAUAAAGGUUAGCUGUUAUAUAAAGGACUGUUAUAUAAAGUUGAUUCUCCAUUUAAGAGAUCUAACCUUAAUCAACUUUUUCCAUCCUUUUGGUUCUGCAAUGAUCAUACCCAGUUGGCAUUAGUUGAUCCCAUUCAGGCGAGCGGAAAAACCGAGCACAAGCGGCGAGGGGUUUGAGGCUUUCAGCUAUCUGAAAUGGGAUAAGUCCAUGACGAAGAGCUCACCAGCCAAGCGCGGUGGCUCCCGAGCCGGGUCGAAUAGCGCCGCCGCCGGGCGAUCUCCUCCGGUGGUUGGAUAACCUCACGCCGCCGUGGUGCUGCGCUCGGUGCCUCGACUGGAUGCGGCUGUGGCCACGUCCCCACAGAAGCGGAGCUCAAAGGAGUUUUCUCGCUCUGUGGCUUCCCGUAAAUUGGAGCUAUGGGCUUGGACAAAUGGCCCAGCAGAUGACUUUUUUGAUGAUUUUUUAAUAGGACAUUAUGACGGUGUAUUUGAGGUGUCUUUGUGUUUCUUUUAAAAAAAUACAAAAAUGGUGAAGAACAGAUAAAAUGUUAAGUUUUCAUGCAGGAGAUCGUACAAAAGGACAUCCUUUCCUUUGGUAUAAAGACAGUAUGAGAGUGUAUGCACUACAUAGAACAUGUAGCAAAGGCCAUGCUAGAACGGGAUGAGCCAGCCACACAGUUCCUCUGCAGCUGGUUUCGCUAGAACGAAGCCGCAGUGACCAUAGAUAGUCACUGGUCGGAAAUCAGAAUCAGGGCUGCUGACUAUUGAUAUCUCACAGAAACUUUUAUGGAACCGAGGCACUGAAUAUGCAAGUGGAAUCAGAAUCAUAAGGCAUGAAAAACACAAUCAAGGCAACCGGUUCAUACACAAUCAGGAGAUUCUUCAGUCUCCCUGAUUCAUGCUGCGCCCUUAUUACACAAGUCAGCUGUCAACAACAAACAUCGAAAAUCCCCAAGAAUGAACAAUAGCAGUCCAGCAAAAGCUACAGAAAGCAGCAUUCCUGUGGGCUGCAGCGUUGCACAAAAAACAAUUAGCAAAAGGACUUAUGUCUAGACCAAGGCUGCUCUUUCGAAUCAGGAUUUCUGACUGGACCACAAAAUUUGACAAUUGUAGGUUGUGCAAAGAUGCACAGUUUCUGACAACUUGUCUUUUAUAUUAGACUGAAUAUUGAUUCACCUACAAAGUGAAAAAAAUAGAGCUGAGUUAAAUCACAAGGAGAAUUAAAUAGUGAGGAUUAGUUGGUGAAAUGUACAAAAGAAAUGACUUACCAGAAACUCAAUACUGAUAAAAGAUGCAAACUCAAGACAUAGCAUGUUUGAAGGUAGUGAUACUGGAUUUACUGAAUGCAAGAGAGAGCUUAAUUGAAAAAAACAGAAACACAGUUUUCCUGCAAGUGAAAUAUGUCUCAGAUAUCUUGUUCGAAUUUACUAUCUCAAAUCAUUUUUGUCCUCAGCACUAUAAAGUAGUUAAAUUCCCUAGUUCAUCUGUAUUCACAAAGAAUGAGUACCAACUCAUACUCUUAUUUCACAAAUAAACUAUCCAAAAUUAUCAACCUAUAUUCUGAGUCUGAUACCGCUACCGAGUAUAGUCAUUUCCUAUUAUUGAACUAUUGUCUAUAUGCAGUAAAAUAUGGAAGUCAAUUACUUAAAUGAAACAUCAUGCUUGAUUUAUCAUCAAUUCCACAGCACAGCACUAGCAAUAAGCAAUGGGAGUCUAGAAUUUAGAUGCAAAUCACCUAAUAUAUUCAAUUCCUUCAAAUGCGAAGUAAGCAACAGCAAGCAUGAAUCCAUGAUAAGUGCUUCAAGUGCACGAAAUACUAGCAUUGCUACUUGGGGGGAGCCUGGACAAGGCAUUUUCCCUGUUUAUCUUGCUAGUUGCUACAAUAAUAGCACAGCUGAGGAUCACAGGGAGGGAGCAAAAUUUUCUGCUCUUAUAACACAAACAGGUUCAGUAACACAUUCUGGAUGCCAUGUAAAGCAUUUCAAACAGAAAUAUGAUAAUUUCUUAUGAAAAUCUGUUUGUCCUGGGCUCCUUUCUACAAUUGAUAAUGGCAUUUAACCCAGAUACAAUGGAAUUCAGUGAAGAAAAAAUGCCUAAACUCUCCUCACCUUAUGUGGAAACAGUUUCCUCCCUAGAAUUUCUCAGCGAAGUUUCUCCUUCACAGAGUGCUUCUUGGCAGCAUCCCGCACUUUUUCAAUGUAUCCUUCAAUUGGUGGUGUGAGUGUCGCCAUGUACCGGUUUGCAGGGAAAGGUGUCAUGUCAGGUACCAUAGCAGCAGCUUGCAGCUUCUCAGGGAGCGCAGCAAUGGCCUCCUUUUUGAGUGUCAGAAGCGUUGACUCAGCUGUUUGUCUUGCACGGUGCCGCCGCAUAAGCACACGACUGUAUUCUUUGGCAAGUCGCCUACCAUCCUCGACUGUGAGCUCAUACUUGGGGAUUGCCUCCUCAUCAACCAGCCCAAGACUGAUAUAGUCAAGGCCCGGUGGACCCAUCAGCACAUGGUCUCCAUCAUCUGCACCAGUACCUUUGGAUUUGGCUUUAGCUUUGGCCUUGGCCUUGGCUACAUCAAGCUCGCGUUGCCUCUCCUUGGAUAUAAGUCCAAGCUCCUCACGUUUGGCCUCACGAAGACGCUCCUUUGGGGACAAGUGCCGCAGGGGAGUAGAGGCAUUGAGACAAGACUCUGAAAUCUGAGUAAUGCGCUCCAUGGCCUCACGACGACCACGUCCACCCCCACCCCCACCCCCACCCCCACCAGUGGAAGGCGCCCCUUUCUUUGCCCCGAUGGUGGAACGCUUCAAUUGCUGUCCUGCUUUGAGCUUGGCCUUUCCUUUGGCUGUGCCACUCACUGGUGCACGCUGUUGAAGCUGGUGAUGCUGACUGGUCACACCAGAUGCCAGUGCAGGGCUUAUAGUUAGUGUCUUGAGAUGCCGAAACAUGAUAUUCCGUGCACUUGAAGCCAUUCAGCUAUGUUUCCUGCAUAAUUCAGGAUAUGUAAUUAGUUGACCUUUUGUUUUCUUUUUGUGGAACAUACAGACAUAGAGUUUUCAUGUAGGCAGUUGAUCAAACAGAGCAGGUAGGGUCCAAGAAAACAAUUAAGCAACAACAAAUGAAUGCUACAUACAAAAUAAGAUGUGCUUGAACCAUAUCAACGAGACAUGCAGUAGAAAAACCAAGUACUGAUUAUCUAUGCAGCACGGAUACGGAUACGCGUAUCAGUAUCGGAAGGAUACGGAUACGCGGAUACGGCAAUUUCUUAAACAACCCGAUACGCGGAUACGUUUUAACUAUUUUUUUAAUAAAUAAAUAACAAUGCAUAUUAAAUUGCAAAAUAGAUGUUCAAAUUCAACAUAGAGACAUUUAAGGUCUAUUACACUGAGAAUAACAUGAUAGCAGGUUCUAAUUUAGGAGAGGAUGGGAGCCUGGGACUGCAAUCAAUCAAUAUAAACUCAUAUCCAGAUUCUGGAGAUUGGCCAAUUAUCAUCGCGUUACCUCCUACUUGCAAUCUAUAUGCUACUAUUCUCCAAGCAAUUGUAUUUGAACCAGUUAAGUAUUGAAAAGAAAGGAUAAUCAACAACUGUGCAAUAGCCAACAUUAUAAAGAUCACACUGCCCCUGAACUUAAUCCACCAUCCAUGCUUGCAUGGGCCCUUAUUCUGUAGACUAUGGAUUAUACUUCCAAAUUGCCUGGAUACACUACACAGAAAAUGUAAAUCUCUAUGCACUUUACGGAUGCUAUGCUACCAUUACUGGGAGGAACUCACGGUUCACGGGAGGCCUGCACUACCACUAUCAGAGGAAGUCACGCACCUGAACAGGGGCUGGGGCUCCUUACGCUGGAGGCCGACGGGAGUAAUCACGGGCGGACGGAGGCCGACGGGAGGCAGCCUGCGGCCGGCGGGAGGCGGCCUCGCGGCCCGUGGCCGCGGGAGGCGGACGGCGGCUGGCAGGAGGCGGCCUCACGGACGGCGGCUAGCGGACGGCGGCCGACGAGAGGCGGAGGCGCUGCGUCAGCCGUCAGGUCGAGCGGGAGGAUGCGGCGAUGCGCUGCGUGAGGCGGCUGCGCGUGGGAGAGCCGACGCCCGACGGGUCACGGGAGUAGGGCAGGAGGUGGGAUGUGCUGUGAUGUUGGGCCGGCUGGGCCGAAUCCAGGCGCGGAAACGUUUCCGAUCCGAAGUUUUCGGCCCAUUUAAUCGGGGAUACGUGGAUACGCCACGGAUAUGUAUCCGGGGCGUAUCCGUAUCGGAUACGUAUCCGAUACGGGAUACGGUCCCCGGUGGAGUAUCCGUGUUUCGUAGCUGAUUAUACCCAAUAGAGAACAAAAUGUGGGAAAACUCACACAGGAAAUAUCAAGCUGGCCAUACCUUCAAAACUAUAGCUAACAACAAGAAAUGUAACGCACAGACAUGAUAGUCCAUGAAUUACAGCAUGUUCACAACAAAUCAACUCACACUGCAUUGUCGCCACUACUUCUAGAUUCAACAGCCUCGAUCAUCCAAAUUCUACAUAUUUUUCUGACAAGAAUAGAAGCCAAUAAUGUGCAAAAGCAGAGGAGGAUGCACUUGGGGUACAGGUAGGGCUCACAAUCUAGCAUGGUGGGCAUGCUUGCCACAGCAGGGGCAUACUAAGUGAGUAUCAAAUUAAUAAAUAAAUAGCUAAUCUUAUCCUCCCUAUCUAGUUUCUGCUAGGAAAAAACUUUUGAUACCAGCUUCAUGUUUCCAUUCUAAACUGAGGCACGAGAGAAAUCAAUAGGACGAAAUAUCCACUUUCAGCGAUCCGAAGCAACAAUUGUGCAAAUCAACCAGCCGUCAAUUCGGCAACAGGCAAUCAAAAACUACAGUGAACCAUUUCGUUCACGCCAUCGGUCGUUGCAAUGCGCAGUCUUUAGAACCUAGGGCCAAUAUGGAGAUCUCACUCAAAGCCGAGGCAACCUUAUCAGAAAAAAAAACAUCUAAAAAGCUAGAAUCCAUUGCUAAAACGAAGCCCCUCUGAAUGCAACAGUCCGCUACUACAUAUAUGAGCUACUCAAGGUUGCCAUUAAUGUUUAACACAUUGCACUUUAGUUAAGCCCCAAAAGACACAGUUUCCUGGUAUUAUGACAUAGUUUGAUUAUGUCAAUCGUAUUUGGUUGAAAUGCUUCCUUUACUCAGUUCUUUGUAUCUCGGUCAAUGAAUGUUUCACAGUUACAUACUUUCAUGUGUUUCUGCCCUAGGAUUUCCGAAAGCACCACUUUACAAAGUCAUGAUUUUAUUGAAGUGCUGCUGUCAAUAAUUAAAUCAUUGAUUGGCAUGAGUUCAUGUAUAGAAUCUGGCCGAUUAUUUCUUCUUUUUUAAUGUUGUCUAUGAAAUUUUAGUUUUUUUAAAAAUAUUUUGCACUUUUGAGUUCAACACCCACUUAUUUUAAAUAUGAAGUGAGCGCACCAAUAUGCCUUUGAUGUUGUGGUUGUCUGUCCUUAUUUUAAUCUAUAAUUUUUAAUUCCAGGCUCUAGAUUACUGCCAUUCUCAAGGCGUUAUGGGUCGAGAUGUCAAGCCCCACAAUGUAAUGAUUGAUCAGGAACUUUGAAAACUUUGCUUGAUAGACUGGGGUCUGGCUGAGUUCUAUCAUCCAGGCAAGGAAUAUAAUGUCCGAGUUGUAUCAAGUAGGCUGAGUGAACAUCCGCUACUACAUAUAUGAGCUACUCAAGGUUGCCAUUAAUAUUUAAUACAUUGCACUUUAGAUCUUACAAUAUUGUUCUUGUAUAAAUAUUUUCAGUUAGUUGCUUAUUUAGUUAAGCCCCAAAAGACACAGUUUCCUGGUAUUAUGCCAUAGUUUGAUUAUGUCAAUCUUAUUUGGUUGAAAUGCUUCCUUUACUCAGUUCUUUGAAUCUCGGUCAAUGAAUGUUUCAUAGUUACAUGCAUGUGUUUCUGCCCUGGGAUUUCCGAGAGCACCAUUUUAAUUCCAGGCUCUAGAUUACUGCUAUUCUCAAGGCAUUAUGCAUCGAGAUGUCAAGCCCCAUGCAUGAUGUAAUGAUUGAUCAUGAACUUCGAAAACUGCGCUUGAUAGACUGGGGCCUGGCUGAGUUCUAUCAUCCAGGCAAGGAAUAUAAUGUCCGAGUUGCAUCAAGGUAGGCUGAGUGAACAUCUUGUUUACCUAUGCUUUCAUAUUCGCAAUUAGAUUGAAUUUCAUCCUUCUAAUCACAUGCAUUUUGGAAACAUAAAUAAUUUUAGUCAAAUUUGUUGUGGGUAUAUACAACUGUUACUACCAAUUUCGUUGGAUUGCUAUAAUAUAUGAUUUUGUCAAAUUUGUUGCAUUUACGUUGAACGAUAUGAUUUUGUAGCUGUCACGUCCACCAUCAGAACGUGAUCAUGUGUCUCUACAAGUUAGUGGAGAUCAGUUAUGGUGGCCGCAACAGAUACAUUGUAUGCCAAGCAAAAAAAUGGACCUGCUUGUCCUCUCAUUGCUGUGGCUAAUUUUCUCAUUCUGAGCCGAGGUGCCAAUAUCAGGCCUAACAGUAAUGGAUAUGUAUCCCAACAACAUCUUUUCAAUUUAGUCACCAUCUAUCUGAACCUUGAACUUGGAAGGAAAUUCAACCAUGACAAAGUGAAGAUUUCUGAGGUUAAGGCGGAGCUUCUGGCAGCAUUACCAAACUUUGCAAAUGGACUCUUUAUCAAUCCAUAUUUCAACAGGUGUGUUAAGGUUACUGUUUGCUAAUCACUAGUUGUGUCUGUGCAUGCAUAGUGUUGUAGUUAAUUAAUUAUAUUGUUGUGUUUUGCAAUAUCAUAAUUGCAGCAUGAGCCACUUUGAUAAGACCCCUGAACUGAGUUUGAUGGAAUGUCUUGGUAUUCCUCUCCUUCAUGGCUGGAUAGACAAUGAGGUAUGUUUGUUUGAGUUUUGUGAGUUAAGAUCAAUGCUGCCUCUGCAGUUGGGUAUCGACAUUGUUCUUACUCUGUGUUAGGACUCCAAAACUGCGAGUGUACUUGAUCUGAUUGAUCUGGAUAUUCCCCGCAAAUCAAUGGAGUCUAUUCAGAAAGAAAAUUCUGCAGAGUGUACUGCAUCAUUAACAACCAAAGUUGAGGUUGUGAGAAACAACACCAAUGAGGAUGCUCAAGAGUCCAGCCAUGACAUUGCCGCGAGGGUACUUGAUCUGUUUGAUCCGGAUAUUUUCCGCAAAUUAAUGGAGUCUAUUCAGAAAGAAAAUUCUGCAGAGUGUACUGCAUCAUUAACAUCCGAAGUUGAGGUUGUGAGAAACACCACCGAUGAGGACGCUCAAGAGUCCAGCCAUGACAUUAGAAGUGAGAUGUUUUCUCUCAGAUUAUUUGGCAUUUUAAAUCCCAUCAUUAUUGCUAUGUGAUGUAUACUAUUGAUAUUAUUUGUAGGCAAGCUGAUUAAAGACUCUACGGAGAAUAUGAAGGCACAACUGACAUCAUAUGGGUAUGGAUGGGUUUAUUAUGUACAUUUAAGCUUAAGAAAACUUAAAUUGUUGACAUUAGUUCCUAAUGUUGGGACCUUUUUUUCCCCAAAAUUUGUAGAGUAUCAUGCCUGUGUGACCACAUGCUUCAAGAAAAGCAGGAACUGGCAGUUUUAUACAGGAAUGGACAUUUUCUUCUUAUUCACGUGGUAUAUCCUCUUCUCCUUUCUAGUUUUUAUUAAACUAUUGAUGAUCGUCAAGAGCUGUUCAUAUGUUCAUUGCUUAUUAUGUUGUUCAUUCUUUUUUUAGCACGAGGACACAUUGCAUACUUUGCAGACAGACUUUGAUCUGAGGACCAUCCAUCCUAGUGCUCAAUGGCAAAUAUUGGAUGAUGUGAGUCAUGCAAUUCCACAACUUCUUUCUUCUGAGAUGAUGCGAUUUUGUUUUUUAGUUUUUUCUUUGCCAAUCAACAACAUUUAGGUGCACGGAGACAAUUUCUUUGUGACUGGCAAUUUCCGUCCUAUCAAGGAUGAAGAUGAGGAUAAAGUGAGUUUGGCUGCUCUAAAUUUUCUUGCUUCUGUUUUCUUAUCUGAUUAUAAACAAAAUGACAACAGGUGAGGGCACUUUAUCUUCAAAAUCGGUAUCAGUGUAGAAUUCGAAGAUAUGAGACGGCAUCUGAAAAAUCCUUAGAAAACCUUGCCAAAAAGGCGGCAGAAGCGAGUAAACACGAGGAUGAGCUUUUAAAGAUUCUUGAAAAGGAAAAGCUCGAGAAAGAAAGGUAAAUACAUUUACAGUUUACUGUAUUGAUAUUCAACUCUUCUUUAAAAUAGAAAAAAAACUCAAAAGUAUUACUAUUUGACUUCCUUUCAGAAAAGCCAAGAAAAAGGUGAAACACAAGCUAAGGAGCAAAGCUAAUCAGGUUGAUGGUACUCCUGAAGCCACAUCACUUCAAAAGCAGCAGAACAUUGUGGUUAUCACAGACAGUGCUCAUGUAACAAUACCACCUCAACAAGAGCAGGAUGUUGAGGUUAUCCAAGAUGUUACUCCAGGAGUCUCACCACUUCAACAUGAGCAGAAUACUAUGGUUAUCCCAGACAGUGCUCCUGAAACCAUACCACCUCAACAAGAGCAGAAUAUUGAGGUUACCCAAGAUGGUACUCCUGGAGCCGCACCCCUUCAACAAGAUCAGAAAGCUGAGGUUAUCCUGGACAGUACUGCUGCAGCCACAGCACAUCAAGAAGAAGAAAAUACUGUGAUUCUCUCUUAGGAUACUAAGUGGGUUGCUGGAAGAUUUCUGAAGUUCCUCACUGAGUAAGCACAUUCAUUGUGUUCUAUUCUUUUGAUUCUUUGUGAGUUGAUUCCUUGAACAUGUGAUUUUUUGUUAGUUGAUUCCUUGUACAUUUCAUUCUCCAGCUUCAAUUAUUAUGGAAAGAGUGCAACGCCCUAUUUUGAAGCAGAAAUAAAAGCGAUGAAGAUUCGGAAUCUUUAUGAGAUGUCCAUCCACUACAAUGACAUUCACCAUGACUGUGAAGAACUUGCUUAGUUAUUCAUGAUCAUUAUGAUAGGUACUACACUUUCGCUUUAAUGCUAUUUUAGAUUCCAUGAAACUUGCAGUAUUAGAGCUUGAGUUCUUUUACAUUUUAUUUUCCAGUGUUUUGGAAGAUUUAAGAGGUUCACUUGUCAAAUAUCUGGUAGCACAUGCUGUUGAGGUAAAGAUGGCUGAGGAAGCUGUACUUAAAAUCCAUGGCAGGCCUAUUAGGUAGGUUUGUUCUUUAUUUUCUUCUUUUGUGUAAUAUAAAAAGCAUUCUGAUCCUUUUAUAUAUUUAUAUAAAUUGUUUUCCUGUCUUCUUUCCUUGUUGGAUCAAGUUAUGUUUCACCUUUAGCCUACCCAACUUGCUUGGGACUAAAAGGUUAUGCUGUUGUUGUAGAAUUAUUCUGAUUGCAAUCUUCUUUUGCAUACAGCUACCGAUCUUUUGUUGAUUUCGCUGAAGAAAACCGUAGUGCCUUGACAGAAUUUCAUGAGAUUUAUAUGAAGACUGUUGCCAAAUGUACAAGUGAACUUGGACGGAGGAUGGCAAGAGGAUACCUAAGAUAUAUAAUUGAUAUGCACAAGAAAGGCCUUUGCUGGCAAGGAGAUUGGAAGGACAGUGAUAUGAAAGUUCAAAGUGAUGGCAGAGAAUUUACCAUAACAAAAGUGCCAGAGUACAAUAUAUCCAAGGACGGCAUGAAGGAGGACUUCAAAAAAUUCUUUGAAAUUCUGUUCCCAUACUAUAUGCACGAGAGUGAAGAAACCAAUUCAGUUUCUGGUAAAAUUAAAAAGAAGAAAGUGCUUCCCUGUUAUUUUCUGCAAUUUCAGCAAGAUUGUGCAGGAGUACCUCAUCCACAAAGAGAGUCAGUAAAGCUUGAGAAUUUCUAGAAAUUUUUGGGUUCUCAUCCGGCAUUUAUGUCCCCAUUAGCAAUGACCACCUUCAUUGGCGAUCUUUUUAUCAGUUGUGACAAUCUGCGUCACCAUAAUGCUGAGUUGUUGCCAUUGCAAGAUACAACAGCUAAAAUGGUUGAUUGGAUAGACCAUGCAAAAAACUUGUGCAAGCCCUUUAGAGAUAUAUACUACCUUGUUACUUCAGCAGCUUAUGAGCCUGGCUACUGGUAUUUCUUGAAAUUCCUUAGAAAUUUUAUUCAGCAUAUGCGUAUGGACAAACCGGUACGUCCAUGUUUUCAUUUAAUAUUUUGUUUUAGUUUCUUGUAUUCCCUCUACCCACAAGCCUUGCAAGAUUUCACAUGACAAAAUUGGUAAAUCAUAGUCCUCCUAGGCUAUUAUUGUUAAAUAGAGCACACCAGUUUGAAUGGAUAUGGCAGCAUAGCCCUUUAUGUUCUUGUUAAGCAGGAUCCAAGACAAUGUGAUGCUUUAGCAUGCAUGUACUUUUGAAACCGUAUGAUGAACGGUGUCCUAAUAAGAAUGAGUAUGCUUGUAAAGUGUUCUGAGCAGAUAAGAUUUAUCUAGGAUAAUAGCCUACUAAUUAAAGUGAGUGAUCUCACUACCGUCAAGCCUAGCCGUCAGUUGUCCUGCUGCUGUUGCUCCACCAAUGCUGGAAAGUGCGGUAAAUACGGCAACAUAAGGUCAGCCAUGUAGGAGAAGGCUUCUCCAAUCUCCAUUUUUGCAGCAUAAGCAACUAGCUGAUGUUAUACUCCCUCUGCUCAUAAAUAUGACGCUUUAACCAAGUUCUGGUCAAACUUUUAAAACUUCGACCACUGAUAGCUCUCAAAAUACUUUCUUUAGAUUUUAGAAACAUAGAAAUCACGUGUAGGUUUGUCAGGGUAAACAUACAUUUAUUAGAUAUUACAUAUUCUUAUACAACAUGGUGGUCAAACAUCUACCUCGAAGACUGUAAAAAGUCAACAGCGCAAGUAUUUGACAGGAGUAGUACCUUUUGCAUCCACUUUGUUUCCAAUCAUCACUUGAUAAGAUGAUAAUCUUGGGAUUUCAGAUAAUGGCGUAAAAAACACAUCAUUUGCUUGUCCUUUAUUUCAAUUAAUCAUUAGGGAAAACAAACAUGUGUAAUGCGAACAUCCUUACAAUUCAUGAAGACUUUGUGAAGUUUGAUGCCAGGGUAAGAUAAUUGGAAAUAGGAUGGGUAGGCAGCUGAUGAAAUGCUUGGCACUACAUGCACAAAUUUGUGAGUCUGUCAAACUACUUCACUCCGGCAAAAAAGGCUGGCUGAUUUGGUGGGGAUGAGGGGCCUGAUUGAGACUUGAGAGUUGAGAGGUAGUUUUUGGUCUCAGAGAAUCGGAAGUUAGGGAGGACUAUUAUCCAAGUGUAUCAUGCUUUUCAGUUCACUCUUUGUUAAGCUUUUUCAUGGCCCAAUUUGUUUUGUAUGUGUCGCAGUUAUGUUACAUUCUUACUUCACUGUCAUACUGAUCCUGUUCUCCUAUCUCAUCCUGGAAACACUUUGUAUUAUAUCUCAUUAUGGAAUCUCACAUGCCUGUAUCAAAUAGCAUGUAUUGAUUCAUUUUUGUGUUAUGUAGGACCAGGAUAUAGCUGUCAGUGGUAUAAUGAUUGGAUAUCAUCUAGAAAUAUAUGUGCCACCUUUAAUUUUAUUUGUGUUGAACAACUGCGACAUGAAUAGCAUGUAAGUAUUUUUUUUGCUACUCUUUUUUUGUAUUGCAUGUAUGUUAGGUAUUUGAGAUUGCAUUUAUUAAAGUUAAUUUUCUUUAUGUAGGUUCCUCUCCUCAUCAUGGAAUAGGUUUGAAGAAUCUCAAUAAGCUUUGAACCCAAUGAAAAAUGAAGUGAGUCUCAUUUGAUUGACUGCUUUUCUGUUGUAUGAAAUUCGGUACUCACAGGGAUAUUGAUAUAUCAAAUAGUGGGUUUUCCCUAUUCAUAUUCAUAUUUAAUAUGAAUAAAAUUGAUAUUCAACAUUGUCAAUUCGAAUUAACAUCUUCGUAAUUUGUGUGAUGUGAAGACAUCAUAGUUGAAGUUAAUCAUCUCUUUAUAUAAUUGUCUUUUUCAAACAGUAAACCAUAGAAUUCCUCACUUGUCCGAGGGUUCAGCUCCUCUGCUCUGCUGCAGCUUAUAGCUAUAGCUGUUAUGGACAAGCAUCACAAGCUGGCUAGUAGAUAUGAUCCGUUUAUCUAUUUUGGUUAACUAAUAUCUAAUUGUAUCAGUCUUUCUCAAGUUUCUUGCAUGCUAUUCAAAUCCUCAUUUGCUGCCCUUUAAUUUUUUUCAGGUUAUGUUUUUUCCAUGUUAUAUGACAAUUUUUUGUUGCGCCCUUGCAGGUUGCAGCUGAUGUGCUAAGUGAAGCUUGCUGCUUAUCAGAUUUUAUGGUAGCGGGUAGCUUUUGGCAAUCUGGCUUUGCUGAAGCAUCUCUAACAAAGCUGGAACUUUGUUCGAUGUUCAGUGAGAGUUGUUUGGGUUUUCACGCUAGGAAUUCAGUCACGACUAAUAGAGGACCUUUUGUCUUUUGUGUAUAUAAUUGCACGUUGGUAGCCUAGAGGGCUCAUUGUAGUAUACGUUUAUCUCAUCAUCCAUGUUCUAGGUGUAAAAUACGUACCUUGUGAACAGACAGUGACUGUAACGGCUUACGUUGAUCAGAUGCUAGGAAGGAUGGUUAUGAGAGAAACUAUACUCCCCCCUUAUGUACCAACUUUGAGUUGGCCAGGCAGAGAACGGCCUGGAGGAGUUAUUAUAACCCAAAUUGUGAAAGUACUCAUCUUUGUUCAAAUUCGGCACUCUGCAUUAUUCACAUUUUGAUUUUUUUUUCAAUAGUGAUAAUAUCUCUAUUUGAAUAAUGCCAUGCUAGCAAUCUUCAACAUUUCAAUAUUACUAUCUCAAAGAUGGAAACGCAGGCAGAUGUUAACAAAUGGGUUAGCCUAAACCCUAGAAUAAAAUUCGACUUGUAUCGUAUUGCUGUGAGAAGUGAUGUAAUGUACUAUAGUAGAACUAAAAAGUAUGUGACCUUUUUAAUCAAGUACAGCAAGAUGAGUGCAAAUGGCAAUAAGAAGCAGAGUUGAGAUAUGCGAUAUUCAAAUCUGAUAACCCACCAGAUAUGCAAUAACUGGAUGACACAAAUCCACAAGACUUGUUGGCCUAUUUAGUAAUCUUAGUUGAUGAAGCAUUAUA
rnacentral:lncRNA from 1 species